rnacentral:rRNA from 1 species
GGCGAACGCUGGCGGCGUGCUUAACACAUGCAAGUCGAACGGAAAGGCCCUGCUUUUGUGGGGUGCUCGAGUGGCGAACGGGUGAGUAACACGUGAGUAACCUGCCCUUGACUUUGGGAUAACUUCAGGAAACUGGGGCUAAUACCGGAUAGGAGCUCCUGCUGCAUGGUGGGGGUUGGAAAGUUUCGGCGGUUGGGGAUGGACUCGCGGCUUAUCAGCUUGUUGGUGGGGUAGUGGCUUACCAAGGCUUUGACGGGUAGCCGGCCUGAGAGGGUGACCGGCCACAUUGGGACUGAGAUACGGCCCAGACUCCUACGGGAGGCAGCAGUGGGGAAUAUUGCACAAUGGGCGGAAGCCUGAUGCAGCAACGCCGCGUGCGGGAUGACGGCCUUCGGGUUGUAAACCGCCUUCGCCUGUGACGAAGCGUGAGUGACGGUAAUGGGUAAAGAAGCACCGGCUAACUACGUG